rnacentral:lncRNA from 1 species
AGGAGCGAAAUACCACCAGCCCUUUUUUCGACAUACCUCUUCAGCAUGAAAAAUGUGCAAAAAAGAGAAUAUCACAGGGCAAUCUCGAGAAGAUCGCAUAUUAUAAGGAAAGAAUAGAUAGUGCGAAUGGAAUUGUGAGGAAGAUGUGCUAAGAAGAUUUUGAUAAUGAUCAAGAAUAUUACAGAUGAAAGAAUGCAAGAGGAAGCGA